rnacentral:rRNA from 1 species
UACGUAGGGGGCAAGCGUUGUCCGGAAUCAUUGGGCGUAAAGAGCGUGUAGGCGGCUUGGUAAGUCCGCUGUGAAAGUCCAGGGCUCAACCCUGGAAAGCCGGUGGAAACUGUCAAGCUUGAGUCCGGAAGAGGCGAGUGGAAUUCCUGGUGUAGCGGUGAAAUGCGCAGAUAUCAGGAGGAACACCAAUGGCGAAGGCAGCUCGCUGGGACGGUACUGGACGCUGAGACGCGAAAGCGUGGGGAGCGAACAGGAUU